rnacentral:lncRNA from 1 species
UCAGAUCAGAUGGAGAGUAUAAGAGGUGCCAAAUACCAAUACUAGUUGACAUAUUGCGUACGAAAAGUAGAGUGCACAUCUUACACUUCAUUUAUCUUACAUAUCAAUUAAAAAAUUCAGAAACAACUGAUCGUUCCUAGAGCAAGUGACAAAGAACUUUAUAAUUGGUACCCGAUGUAUCAUGUUCGAAUCCUAGUUGAUUUAUAUUUCUAGCUAAGUUUAUUUCUAAAUGAAAUAAACGAAACGGAUAGCAUGCUACCUAUCUCUCAAAAAAGAAAAAUCGAAAGCAUCAUAGGAUCCACU